rnacentral:tRNA from 1 species
GGAGAGGUACCGAAGUUUGGUCAUAACGGGGCGGUCCCGAAAACCGCUGUUCUUUUUUAAGGACACGUGGGUUCGAAUCCCACCCUCUCCGCAA